rnacentral:rRNA from 1 species
UACAGAGGGUGCGAGCGUUGUUCGGAAUUAUUGGGCGUAAAGCGCUUGUAGGCGGCACGUCAAGUCGCGUGUGAAAUCCCCAGGCUUAACCUGGGAAGUGCGCGCGAAACUGACGAGCUUGAGUGCCGGAGAGGGUCGCGGAAUUCCCGGUGUAGAGGUGAAAUUCGUAGAUAUCGGGAGGAACACCAGUGGCGAAGGCGGCGACCUGGACGGACACUGACGCUGAGACGCGAAAGCGUGGGGAGCAAACAGGGAUUAGAAACCCUAAGUACG